UGAAAUUGCAUGGAAAUGACGUUUAUAGCUCAGGGUUGGCUACGAGAAAUGACAUAUGUUUUGAUAAAACGAAUAUAUGCGCAAUCUGAGAUUGUGCAUCGUGUACGGUAAUACGGUGAAAAAUGUAUGGGAUUUGACAUGUAUGUAUGUAUGUAUGGGAUUUGACAUGUACAAAAAUGUAUGGGCUACGUGGAACUCAAGUCCAAGGUGUUAUAAAUGACAAGGUGAAGUUGUUCAGAGCAAAAUGACAUUUCUCGACUUGACAUUUCUCUUCCGGGGGCUCCGGUAUAAAAAUCGGGGAGGGCUGUGUAGAGAAUAGAAUAAGAAAUAAUAAAAAUAUAGAAGAUCGAUGUAUAGGCAAGUGUCAAAAUGAUAAGCAACCUAGGACGAGAGACGGAGCCAGAGAAAGGAAGCACAAAGUACAGAGAAACGAGAGCGGCAGAGAAACGAGAGCGGGAGAGAAACGAAUUGGAGCGAUGACCACGAGAGACGAACGAAAAUCGGAGAGAGCUUUGGGGACGACGGAGAGAGAGAACGACACAGCGAUCAGUUUUUGGACAAAUGUUGACGAGAGCGGUCAUGAAGCACCAAGCAUCCUAAGCAUCUGAAGCACGAGACAGCAGUAAAAAAAAGAGAUAAUAAUAAAAAAAGUAAAAUGAAAAAAGCAAAUGUUGUAAUUGGCGAAGAAAGUGGCGGAUAUCACGACAAUGGCGCAAACCACGCUCCCAGAUCGUAAAUAUAAAACGUUUUGUGGAUUGAGAGCAGUGCAUUGCGGGAAUGGGCUGAAAAUGUUGAUAAAUGAAGUGAAGUACGUCAUGUCGGUUGCAAAAGACAUUCAGUAAAUGUGCUUUAUUGUGUAUAAACGAGCGAUGCAUGUUGAGGAUGAACAGAAGCGAUAUUGAACACGGAUCGGUGUUUCUAACCGAAGACAGAGGAUUUGUAAAGAAAAAUAUAUACCGACAAGUGUGCGUGCAUUGUGUGGAGAACGGGCCUAUUCACGCGGAAACAAUGCUUACCACAGUUGUAUGACCAUUUCCCGGGAAUUUGCAUUCUUGUUCGAGCACGAUACCAGAGGAAGCCCAAUAAAGGAAACAAGUUACGGAAGACGCUAAAGUUGGAGAGAAAAAGAAAUAUGCUAUUAGUCGCUAAACUCCAGAAGAUGAAGUUUAAGAACAAUCGACUGCAGAGGGCUAUGCCGUUUGAGGAAAGCAUUGACAUGGAACCACGACACUCGACCGCAAUUGACAUAGCGAUCAAUGGCAUUUCUGAAUUGAGGUAUAUUACAUGGAAACACAGAUCUGAUAAUUUUGAUGAUUAUUUCAGGUUGUCGAACAGAUGGCAGUAACUAUAAAUGGUGGUCACGAAACGAUAAUACCUAGUGGAUACAUCGUCGGUCGUAUAGCAAAUUCUACGUCGGUGGUUUUUCUGAUCGAUUCAGGAGCAGAGGUCAACACCGUUUACGAAAGUACCUUUGAUAAGCUUUAUAAUGAUGAAACUUCCAAGAAACAUAUAUAUUGUGUAUCAGAAGGUACCGAUAAACCGCUUCGCGCGUACGCCAGCCCGGGCAAGAUAAACGUUGUAGGAACUUUCGUUACGGAGCUUUUUAUUUCCGAGGAAAGGCCGUGUUUUUUCGAAAAAUUUUAUGUUAUCAAAGGCGGAAAGCGUUUACUUGGAAGGGAUACAGCCUUCGGUACAGUGUGUUGCAGUUAGGACUCAACGUCGUAGUCGAUCGUGGGGACGAUUACCAAGGUAGUGUUGUUAGAUUUCCAGGUGAAAUUUUAGCAGUAGCGACAAAGAAAGAAUUCCCAAAAUUCAAUGUUCCCCCGGUAAUUUUGUCGUAAUAUUUACGAACAUUCCAUUGCCAUUUCGAGAGGAGACCGAACGUAGACUACAGGACCUUUUAGAUACAGGGAUUAUGGAGCACGUUACAGAUUCAACGGAUAGGUCAUUCUUCUCUUUUUUACUAGUCGUCCCAAAAGGUAAAGACGAUAUACAACUAGUAGUGGAUCUAAGGGGCCCUAAUAAAUGUAUUAUAAGCACGCCUUUUAGAAUGCCAAAUUUGGAGGAAAUUCUGGCCGACCUUCAUGGUGCCAAAUAUUUUUCUACUAUCGACCAUACAAGUGCGCUCUUCCAUGUAGAAAACGCAAAACAAUCGCGGCAUCUAACAAAUUUUUUUGCCGGAAAUGCUACUUACCGGUUCAAACGUCUACCAUUUGGUUUGUUCAACGCCCCUGAAAUCUUUCAGGAAAUAUUACAAACAAAAAUAUUGUUGGGCUGUAGUGGACAAAAUGUUACUUGCAUGAUAUUUUGAUACACGGAAAAACGAAAGAAGAACAUGAUAAAAACAUGAAAGCAGUUCUGGAUCGACUACAAAAUCAUAAUGUACGUAUUAAGGACGACAAAUGCGUCUUCGAAAAAACCAAGUUAAGUUUGUAGGAUUUUUUAUGUCAGACAAGGGAAUGCGUGUCGAAGACGAAAAACUAAAAGCAGUUAGGAACUUCCGUCGACCGGAGACUGUGCUCGAAGUGAAAAGUUUCUUAGGAUUUAUGAAUUUUUCAGAGCGUUUUAUUUACAUGCGAGCAGACAAGACAAAACAUUUACGCGAGCUAGCAAAGUCGGAAUCAUUUUACUGGACAGAAUCAGAGGAGGAUGAAUAUGUUUACCUCAAGCACGAAGCGUUGAAGUCAAUUUCUAGAUUAGGAUACUUUAGCUACAAAGAUGAGACUGAGCUCUACGUAGACACUUCUCCGGUGGGUUUAGGAGCGGCCCUGGUGCAAUUCGAUACUGAUAGUAAGUCACGAAUAAUUGCAUGCGCAUCAAAAGCUUUAACUAGAACCGAACAAAAGUAUCCUCAUAGACAGAGAGAGGCAUUGGCGAUAGUUUGGGGAGUAGAGCGAUUCUCAUUCUAUUUAACAAGCAAAACGUUUACCAUUCGACGAAGAUGACGAAAAACAUGUUCUGUAUACUUUAGGGGGAGGUCUUAUUAGCGUUUCUUGGAGGGAAAUCGAGGAGGCGUCAGAAAGGGACUUGGAACUUGACGCAGUAAGAAUAGCUAUUAGAUCUGGAAGUUGGCCUGACAAUUUUCGAAGAUACGAAGCAGCAAGGAAAUCCAUUCGUUCUCUGGGAUCAUUGAUCUUCAAGGACGAUAAGGUAAUACCACCAACUGAUUUAAGAUCAGAAAUAAUGCAAAUUGCUCAUAAAGGUCAUAUAGGUAUCUCGGCUAUGAAUUGCAUUUUGAGAGAAUAUUUUUGGUGGCCUAACAUCAACCCACCGGUACCUCUUACGAAUCGUACAUUGCCUGACGGCCCUUGGCAAGUCCUCCAAAUCGAUUUUUUAUCAAUUCCUGGUUGUGGAACAGGCGAGUUUUUAGUAGUUGUCGAUACUUACUCAAGAUAUAAAGCCGUAAAUGAGAUGAAUAACAUAGACGCUAAGAGUACCAUUAUGGCCUUAAACAAAAUAUUUACUAUCUGGGGUUUACCUCUAACUAUUCAGAGCGAUAAUGGACCACCGUUUCAAAGUAGUGAAUUUACUCUUUACUGGGAAGAAAAAGGCGUAAAAUUUUACAAAUCUAUACCCCUUAAUCCAAAAAUCUAACGGAGCCGUCGAAAGACAAAAUCAGGGAAUGAUCAAGGCGCUUGCAGCAGCAAACAUGAAGGAGGCAGUUGGAAGGAAGCCCUAAACUCUUACGUACAUGUACAUAAUAACAUGAAACCACACGCCCGUCUAGGUAUAACACCUUUCGAGAUAUUAGUAGGAUGGCGAUA